GGGAAUGUGGCUCAGUGGUCAAGUACCCCUGAGUUCAAACCCCAGUACCAAAAAAAGAAUAGCCCCCUGCUGUGCAGCAUAAUCAUGUGGAACAAAGUACGCUAAUCGUGUUACUAAUCAAAGAUUGCCAGCUAUAGAAUUAUUGGAUUAAGUCAGAAGCACAUGAACAUAUGGGCAUAUCGACUCCAUAUCAAGAACAUGAGGCUGGUGAGCUUAUCAGACACAUCAGGCCACCAAAUGAUGCAAAGCCCUCACCUGCAACAUGCAGCGGUAUGGUGGCACACACAGGCCCAUCAUCUAUCAGAAUCCCUGGGAAAUGCAGCUCACUCCCAACUCUGUCCCCGGGCUUCAGUUCAGCUCCAUCUCUCUGCUCUGCGAGGCCCUCCUUGUAACUGCCUGCUGUCUGGACCCUCUCCCGGGACAAGCCUCUUGACCCUUGAAACCCUGUGACUACCCUAACACCUCUUAGCUGUUCUGUGGCCUAUCCAUCAUUGGGUAAAUUGUGACUUGAGUGUUACCGAGAUUAGUAAUUGAGACUGGAAUGGAAUAAAAGAAAAUGGUGUCUUACUCAUGGCUACCAAGUGAACCAUGAGUACUUGGUGAAUUAAAACAAUGAAAGUUAUGCAACUUGUGGAUUUG
rnacentral:lncRNA from 1 species